AUGGAGACCUGUAGCUCAGGAGCAUGUGACACAAGCUCUAGCACAGUGGAAUGGGCAAUGGUUGAGCUUCUUCGAAACCCAUCAUCAAUGGCCAAGCUCCUUCCAUUUGGUGCGGGGCGUCGAAUCUUCCCUGGAAUGGCUUUGGCAAUUAGGAUGGUGCAUAUGAUGCUUGCUUCCAUGUUAAACCAGUCUAGGUGGAGUCUUCCCGUUGAGCUGAAACGGGAUGGGAUUGAUGUGGAAGAUCAGUUUGGACUCACACUAGUGAAGGUGGUGCCCCUUUGUGCUAUGGCAACACCGAUUUGA
rnacentral:rRNA from 1 species